CUGACUACAUUUCCAGCCUUGAUGAUCUAAUGGCAUCUUGGGCAGUUGGGUGCGUGCAGAAGAUGUUGCACAAACAUUGUUCUAAUCGCUCUGAGGUUCGACUGAUCGGCAGAGACGAGGUUGAACGAGGAAAUGGUCGCCUGGCCUGACCCCUGACCUUGAAUGGGGUUGUAAUGUCCUCUGGCCCUGAGACAGCCUGAUGUUUUUAUUCAUA